CAAUGUACCUCACAUCCUCACUCAAUUCGCUCACUCUCUCCACCCCUUUCCUCAAUGGCACAACCCCUCUCUCUCACUUCUCAGAACCCACUUCCUCUCUGUCCCUUCAACCUCCUAAGCCCUUCACUUUUCUCCCUCCAAUCAGAGCCAUGAGGUCAAUGCAAGGCAGAGUGGUUUGUGCAACCAAUGACAAGACGGUGUCUGUUGAGGUAACCCGGUUGGCCCCGCAUCCCAAGUACAAGAGACGGGUGAGGAAGAAGAAGAAGUUUCAGGCUCAUGACCCUGAGAACCAGUUCAAGGUUGGCGACCUUGUCCAGCUUGAAAAGAGCAGACCCAUUAGCAAGACCAAGGCUUUUAUUGCUGUGCCAGUACCGCCUAGGAAGAAGAAGGAAAAGAAAGGGAAUGAAGAGGGAGCGGCGCCUCAGGAGCUUGGAAUUCCACUGGAGUCUCAAGAAGAACAGAAAGCUUAACAUGAUUCCUAUGGUGAUGUAAUUGUGCUUUUUUUGUGAAUUUUUG
rnacentral:misc_RNA from 1 species